GGGCCAGUAGUUUGACAACAGAAGAUUUUUGUAAAUGUUAAGAAUGACAAUGGUUUCCAAGUGAUGAGAAAAGCUCUUUCAGGUCAAGUGAGCUAAAAAUGGUAAAAAUUGUUAGGCAAUUACAUCUUUCUGCCAUGAAACUUACGGUACAUGUUUUUUCUUUUCUGUCUCUGGAGGUAAUUUUUUUUCUGUGUAUGUUUUUAAAGAUGAAUGGAAAAUAAAAAGUGAAAGUUGGGUGGAAACUGUUAUUUAAGGGCAUUGACCUCUUUACUUUAAAAGGAGUAUUCCAACAUAUUUGGUCAAAAUGGAGAUCAUAUAUGGUAGAUAGAUUUCAACAUUCUUAAUGUUUUUGUCUGAUCAUUCUUUCUUUACUUAGAACAUUCUUCAAUUAUAUAAGACAAUUUCUUUCAUUUCACCCAUAUAAUGUUCUUUUUUUUUACGCCAUAUAGCACCCAGGUUUGUUGACAGACAGGAUCAUUUAACACUUUUUAAAACUAGAUACUCAUAGAAAUAUGGUAGCUAAUUUCUGUGACAAAAGGCCAAGUAGUUUCAGUAGAGAAUUCUUUUGUUAAUAGUAUAAAGAAGUCCAAGUGAUGGCACUAGAUCAUACAAUUGUCCUUUUGGCAAGUAAGC
rnacentral:lncRNA from 1 species